rnacentral:rRNA from 1 species
GACGAACGCUAGCGGCAGGCUUAAUACAUGCAAGUCGAGGGGUAACAGCGGACUUCGGUCCGGCUGACGACCGGCGCACGGGUGCGUAACGCGUAUGCAACCUACCUUUGAUAGGGGGAUAGCCUGGAGAAAUCCAGAUUAAUACCCCAUAUUAUGAUUGACAGGCAUCUGUUAAUUAUGAAAGCUCCGGCGAUCAAAGAUGGGCAUGCGUGACAUUAGUUAGUUGGUGAGGUAACGGCUCACCAAGACUACGAUGUCUAGCUGGUCUGAGAGGAUGAUCAGCCACACUGGCACUGAGACACGGGCCAGACUCCUACGGGAGGCAGCAGUAAGGAAUAUUGGACAAUGGGGGCAACCCUGAUCCAGCCAUGCCGCGUGGAGGAAGACGGUUCUACGAAUUGUAAACUCCUUUUAUCAGGGGCUAACUAUGAGCUAUACGCUCAUUUGAAGGUACCUGAAGAAUAAGCACCGGCUAACUACG